rnacentral:rRNA from 1 species
UACGAAGGGGGCUAGCGUUGCUCGGAAUCACUGGGCGUAAAGCGCACGUAGGCGGCUUCUAAGUCAGGGGUGAAAUCCUGGAGCUCAACUCCAGAACUGCCUUUGAUACUGGAGAGCUUGAGUCCGGAAGAGGUGAGUGGAACUCCGAGUGUAGAGGUGAAAUUCGUAGAUAUUCGGAAGAACACCAGUGGCGAAGGCGGCUCACUGGUCCGGUACUGACGCUGAUGUGCGAAAGCGUGGGGAGCAACAGGGAUUAAGAA